rnacentral:rRNA from 1 species
UACAGAGGGUGCAAGCGUUAAUCGGAAUUACUGGGCGUAAAGCGCGCGUAGGUGGUUCGUUAAGUUGGAUGUGAAAUCCCCGGGCUCAACCUGGGAACUGCAUUCAAACUGUCGAGCUAGAGUAUGGUAGAGGGUGGUGGAAUUCCUGUGUAGCUGGUGAAAUGCGUAGAUAUAGGAAGGAACACCAGUGGCGAAGGCGACC